rnacentral:SRP_RNA from 1 species
GCUGGGAGUGGUGGUGCACGCCUGUAAUCCAAGCUACUAGGGAGGCUGAGGCAGGAGAAUCGCUUGAACCUGGGAGGCUGAGGUUGCAGUGAGCCAAGAUUGUGCCACUGCACUCCAGCCUGGGUGACAGAGUGAGACUCCGUCUUAA